CUAAUCAUGUCAAAUUAUAAGUCAGAGUUAUAGACAGAUAUGAUCGAAACAGGAGCAUUCAAAUUAUAAGCCAGAAUGUGAAACAUACUAUUGAACUAGAUUUUUAAUAAAGUCAAUAUGAGAGAGUUUGGUCGAAUCGGAUACCUAAUCAUGUCAGAUUAUAAGUCAGAGUUAUAGACAGAUAUGAUCGAAACAGGAGCAUUCAAAUUAGAAGCCAGAAUGUGAAACAUACUAUUGAACUAGAUUUUUAAUAAAGUCAAUAUGAGAGAGUUUAGUCGAAUCAGAUACCUAAUCAUGUCAGAUUAUAAGUCAGAGUUAUAGACAGAUAUGAUCGAAACAGGAGCAUUCAAAUUAGAAGCCAGAAUGUGAGACAUACUAUUGAACGAAACAGGAGCAUUCAAAUUAGAAGUCAGCAUGUGAGACAUACUAUUGAAGUAUAUUUUUAAUAAAGUCAAUAUGAGAGAGUUUGGUCGAAUCGGAU
rnacentral:lncRNA from 1 species